rnacentral:lncRNA from 1 species
UGGACCAGCUACUCCAGUGCAGCGACGGCUUCUGUCGCCCAGUCAGGCCAUCCUAUGACAUCACCUAGUUAGAGAGAUGCAAUAACAGAUUGGUGCUAGAAGAAGGAUACGCACAUUCUGCUUCUGAAGGAUGGUAGUAAGAGCUUGGUCGCGGUACCAACUCAUCACAUCGCCCUAGCAGUCCUUCCAUCAUAACACACUUGAUGCGAGGUGAUAAGGGGUGA